rnacentral:tRNA from 1 species
CAAACGGUAGCUCAGUGGGAGAGCUCCCGCUUCGUGCGUGGGAGGACCUGGGUUGGAUUCCCAGCUGCUUCC